UACGUAGGGCGCAAGCGUUAUCCGGAAUUAUUGGGCGUAAAGAGCUCGUAGGCGGCUUGUUGCGUCGGCUGUGAAAACCCGCGGCUUAACCGUGGGCUUGCAGCCGAUACGGGCAGGCUAGAGUUCGGUAGGGGAGACUGGAAUUCCUGGUGUAGCGGUGAAAUGCGCAGAUAUCAGGAAGAACACCUAUGGCGAAGGCAGCUCUCUGGGACGGUACUGACGCUGAGACGCGAAAGCGUGGGGAGCGAACAGG
rnacentral:rRNA from 1 species